rnacentral:rRNA from 1 species
GACGAACGCUGGCGGCGUGCUUAACACAUGCAAGUCGAACGGAAAGGCCCUGCUUGCAGGGUACUCGAGUGGCGAACGGGUGAGUAACACGUGGGUGUUCUGCCCUGCACUUCGGGAUAAGCCUGGGAAACUGGGUCUAAUACCGGAUAGGAGCCAUUUUUAGUGUGAUGGUUGGAAAGUUUUUUCGGUGUAGGAUGAGCUCGCGGCCUAUCAGCUUGUUGGUGGGGUAAUGGCCUACCAAGGCGGCGACGGGUAGCCGGCCUGAGAGGGUGGACGGCCACAUUGGGACUGAGAUACGGCCCAGACUCCUACGGGAGGCAGCAGUGGGGAAUAUUGCACAAUGGGCGCAAGCCUGAUGCAGCGACGCCGCGUGGGGGAUGACGGCCUUCGGGUUGUAAACUCCUUUCGCUAGGGACGAAGCUUUUUGUGACGGUACCUAGAGAAGAAGCACCGGCUAACUACGUG